AGUGCCUGUGAAGUGCCUGUGGUUAAGUGGGCACAACAGCAGGCAAAUGGCAUCUAGGAAUUUGAUACCAGCAACCAAUGGUUGCCAGCUCACUUCCCGCCAGAUCUUCCAGUUGGACCUGAGAUUCAAACUCGCAACCCUCCGGCCACUGUCUCACCUCUCUAACCACCAGGCUACCUGCUGCUUGGUCAUGUUGUCAACAAGGCAGCAUGAUGCAUCGUCCAGAAACCUAUACAACAUCUCCUUUCCAUAAAAUGUGUUUGUUUUUUCAAACUAGUUUUCAUUGGGAAGGUAGAUAAAGCAUUUUUUAUCAAAAGCAAUCAUUUUGGCUGUGUUUAUACAGGCGUCCCAAUUCUGAUAUGCUGCCCAAUUAUUGGCAAAAGAUCUGAUCUGAUUAGUCCAAAGAACAAUAUUUGGGCAAAAAAAUCUGAAUUGGGCUGCCUGUGUAAACACAGCCUAAUGCAUGUGAAAACACAGAAUCCUACUCAUUACUCCGCUUUCUUAAUCUAGCCUAGUCUGUCACUUUUGUUUUGAGACGACUUGCCAUGGGCUUUGAACGGGGAAACUGGUUUAUGCUCCAGCCUGGUCUCAGACUAGAGACUGUAAAUCCGGGACACAUUGUAAAUCUGGGAUACUCAAAUUAGUAUGAUAAAUUACAUUUGGUAUGGUUACAUAAGACUGAGGAUUACUUAAAGAAAAAAUGAAAAGUAGGGUGGUUGGUUGGUCAGGGGUGGAUAGGAGGGUGUAUUAUGUGAACAUCAAGCAACCCAAAGAGUUGCAUGUUCAAAUCUCAUCAUGGACAACUUUGCAACUACUUUUUAGCUACUAUGCAACUACGUUUUAGCUACUAUGCAACUACUUUGCAUGUUAGCUAACCCUUCCCCUAACCUUAACCCUUUAACCUCGACCCUAACACCAAGCCUAGCUAGGUUGCCACCUACAGUAGCUAACAUUGGCUACAACAAAUUGGAAUUGUUAACAUAUCAAACGUUUUGCAAAUUUGUAACAUAUUGUAUGAAUUGUAAGAAGUAACAUAUUAUACGAAUUGUAAUCCAUAACAUAUCAUACCAAAUGGAUUAUGGACACUUGCAAAUUAAUACAUACCAUACGAAAUGUAAUGUAUACUAAUUGAGGGUCCCGGAUUUACGUUUACUAUGUUACGUGAUAACAACUUUGGAGGGGACCAUUACAUUUUCUCAAGAGCAAUUCCUGAGGGGGACACCAAAAGUAGUGCUGUAACACAAAUUGCCUACAUUGUAAUAUGUUCAAUGUAUAUUGAGGAAUCAUAAUUACUACUACUGGAUCAUUUAUAUUGAGUUAAGUUGUCCCAACUUGUCAAAUGUUUAUAAUAGUUAUGGCAGUGUUCCUUAUCAGUCCAGUGUGUAUGCAGGUAUUUGUAUUUACAACCAGCAAUACCAAUAAGGGCCAGUAAGUGGCAAUGGUACUGUACACUGUAUGGGUGCGGUUUUCGUAAAUACAAUGAGCAUCUCAUCUAAAAAUCUCAAUUGAGAACCAUCAAAGUUGGUCUCAGUAUUGAAUUGACCUUUUUUAUUUGACUUCUGAUAUUUAAUGACUAUAUAAAUGUGUGCCACUGGCCUGAGUCUACUACAAUAGCUUUACAAGAACAAAAUGCUCAAAAUAAGUACAGUUCUAAAAGCGAAAGAACUACUUCAAUGAAUAACCAAAUAAAUAAACCAAAAUAUCCUCCAAAUAUACUUAUUUAUUGUUCAGUCAGUGUUUCAACACUUCAAACAACAGCUAUGGACAAGUAUAUCACACAACAUCUACCCCUGAGUCCAGGUUGAAAUUCUUUCAUAAUCAAAUCCCCUCAAAUGCUGCGUAUCUUGCUUGGAGAGAAGCCGGGUGCAGCGGCCCUUGUGACUGAUUCCGGAAUCUACCUCUACAUGGCCAGCGGUUAGCUACACAAAAUCUCUGCUCGUCCUUAUCUCAGGUUCAGCUGACGUUGAUGCCAUUUUCAUUUUGUUGCUAAUUGUCUGUCAUUAAUAUGAAUACGAUGAAUUUGAAGGCUUUAUUUGAUUGUAAAAAACAAUAUACAGUGCUGCAGAUUACUUACGCACACAUAACCAAACAUUAACACAACAUUAGCACUCAGGCAGAGUGCGCAAAUUGGUUUUAGCAACCUUGAUACAACCUUGGAUAUGGCCGAUUAUUACCGCCCCAAAAGGUCCAGCGCUCCACUCUAUCCACUGAGCCUGUCAUCGCUUCCAAAAAGCCUUUCAAGGCGGAGCUUGUAUGUGGAAAGCGUCACUCAUGGUGCACUUGUGGACACCGAGAGAAACAGCCUUUCUGUGAUGGAACCCACAAGGCUAAAGCCCAGGGCCUGAUGCCUCAGCGCUUCGUCCCUGAGAAGGACUCCAAAGCUUAGCUGUGUGGCUGCAAGUACACCGCUAACCCACCAUACUGCGACAGCACUCACAAGCAGGAAUUCAUUCAGUCUGCCCUGCUCAAGGGGAACACAAACUUCUGAAUGGAUAGGAGCUGCAUGUGUUUUUGUCCAAUUUACUGUGGUGUCAGUUCUGAUCCUGGAGAUGGGGGACCCUAAUCACUGGUUCAGAAGGGUGAUUGACCGCGAACAGAUGACGUAUGCAUAUCUGACGUGCUUAGAUCUGAUGUGAUUGGUCAAACGACCGAUUAGUGGAAAAAAUAUCAGAAUUAAGCUGCCUGUCUAAAUGCAGCCUUAGGGGCCUCAUUAGAGUAUAAUGGGAAACUCUGGGCUUAGCACUAGCUUUGAACAAAUCUCCCAUUGUCAUCCAUACAAGAUUUGCAUGACGAGAGCUCUGUGAACAACUCAAUUAAGGAUUCAUCACAUGAUAAGCAAUUUGCAAGGUGAUACUUGUUAUGAGGCGAUUCCACGAUAACAGAAUGAUGCUGAUAUUCAGAUAUUUCACUUUAAAAUGUAAAAACCAAAGAUUAAAGUUAUUCAGACCAUUCAACUUUAUGCACAAGGACUAGUUUUAACAAUUUCCACAAAACACAUUUACUUGAGUGCAGAUGCAAAGUUUGGUAACAGAAUAACAGUGUCUUAAUCUUUGCAAUCAUUGUUUUUUUUUUUUUUGGCAUACAUUUUAAAGUGAAAAAUCUGAGUCACGGCAUUGUUCUGUUACUGUGGAAUUGCCCUGUGUGGGAAUGCACUGGUGCUUCUGUAAAUGUUUGAAAUUGUGAUGAAACAGAUAUUUUAAAUUGUAAUGCUCCGCUAAUGAUACGCACAAGUAUUGUGAUGGACUGUUUCUCAAAAUCAAGUAUUGUAAUAGAACACUAAAUCAUAAGAUUGAUGUAAGAUGAAUUAAGAUGUAUUUUUAUAGAUCUAAAAACAGUAUUAUUUCCUCCACGGUGUAUUCUGUCUGUGUUGAAAUUAAAACGAUCAAAUAUUUUUUUUAAACUUUCUCUUAAUUACUGUCACAUUUUGCCAUCCCAUAACCUGUUUUGUACAUCACUUAUGAAGAAAUACAAUGUUUCAACCGAAAACAUCCUCUGCCUUUGAAGUCAUGAAAAUCCAGAUUCUUUGGAGAGCACAGUUACCGUGGAUCCCAACUUAAAAUCAAGUUAAACAGU